UGAACCUUUACUAUAGCUUGACACUGAACAUUGAGCCUUGAUGUGUAGGAUAGGUGGGAGGCUUUGAAGUGUGGACGCCAGUCUGCAUGGAGCCGACCUUGAAAUACCACCCUUUAAUGUUUGAUGUUCUAACGUGGACCCGUGAUCCGGGUUGCGGACAGUGUCUGGUGGGUAGUUUGACUGGGGCGGUCUCCUCCUAAAGAGUAACGGAGGAGCACGAAGGUUGGCUAAUCCUGGUCGGACAUCAGGAGGUUAGUGCAAUGGCAUAAGCCAGCUUGACUGCGAGCGUGACGGCGCGAGCAGGUGCGAAAGCAGGUCAUAGUGAUCCGGUGGUUCUGAAUGGAAGGGCCAUCGCUCAACGGAUAAAAGGUACUCCGGGGAUAACAGGCUGAUACCGCCCAAGAGUUCAUAUCGACGGCGGUGUUUGGCACCUCGAUGUCGGCUCAUCACAUCCUGGGGCUGAAGUAGGUCCCAAGGGUAUGGCUGUUCGCCAUUUAAAGUGGUACGCGAGCUGGGUUUAGAACGUCGUGAGACAGUUCGGUCCCUA
rnacentral:rRNA from 1 species